rnacentral:rRNA from 1 species
UACGGGGGGAGCAAGCGUUGGUUCGGAUUUACUGGGCGUAAAGGGCGCGUAGGCGGCCACCGCAAGUCGACUGUGAAAUCUCCGGGCUUAACCCGGAAAGGUCAGCCGAUACUGCGGGGCUAGAGUGCAGAAGGGGCAACUGGAAUUCUCGGUGUAGCGGUGAAAUGCGUAGAUAUCGAGAGGAACACCUGCGGCGAAGGCGGGUUGCUGG